GACGAACGCUGGCGGCGCGCUUAACACAUGCAAGUCGAGCGAGCGGCGGACGGGUGAGUAACACGUGAGUAACCUGCCCCCCUCUCUGGGAUAACAGUUGGAAACGGCUGCUAAUACCGGAUAGUGUGGGAUGGACUCGCGUCCUAGCAGCUCGUUGGUGGGGUAGUGGCUACCAAGGCGCGACGGGUAGCCGGCCUGGGAGGGCGACCGGCCACAUUGGGACUGAGAUACGGCACAAACGCCUACGGGAGGCAGCAGUGGGGAAUAUUGCACAAUGGGGGAAACGCUGAUGCAGCAACGCCGCGUGCGGGAUGACGGCCUUCGGGUUGUAAACCGCUUUCAGCAAUGUCGCGGUAGUGGCAGAAGAAGCACCGGCUAACUACGUGCCAGCCGCCGCGGUAAUAC
rnacentral:rRNA from 1 species